GGCCUUAUAGUCAAGUGGUUAAGACAUAAUGUUUUCACCAUUACAUCGUGGGUUCGAGGCCCGCUGAGGCUA
rnacentral:tRNA from 1 species